rnacentral:rRNA from 1 species
UACGUAGGGUGCGAGCGUUGUCCGGAAUUAUUGGGCGUAAAGGGCUCGUAGGCGGUUUGUCGCGUCGGGUGUGAAAACACCGGGCUUAACUCGGUGCUUGCUUUCGAUACGGGCAGACUAGAGGUAUGCAGGGGAGAACGGAAUUCCUGGUGUAGCGGUGAAAUGCGCAGAUAUCAGGAGGAACACCGGUGGCGAAGGCGGGUCUCUGGGCAUUACCUGACGCUGAGGAGAGAAAGCGUGGGUAGCGAACAGG